AUCCGGGAUGCUAAGGCUGAGAACUGAUGACGAGUGUUCCUCGGAACAUGAAGUGCUUGAUGCCAUGCUUCCAAGAAAAGCCUCUAAGCUUCAGGUAAAAAGAGACCGUACUCUAAACCGACACAGGUGAUCAGGUAGAGAAUACCAAGGCGCUUGAGAGAACUCGGGUGAAGGAACUAGGCAAAAUGGCACCGUAACUUCGGGAGAAGGUGCGCCGCUUUCGGUCAUGGGAUUUACUCCCGCAGCUGAGGGCGGUCGAAGAUACCAGGCCCCUGCAACUGUUUAUUAAAAACACAGCACUCUGCAAACACGUAAGUGGACGUAUAGGGUGUGACGCCUGCCCGGUGCCGGAAGGUUAAUUGAUGGGGUUAGCGCAAGCGAAGCUCUUGAUCGAAGCCCCGGUAAACGGCGGCCGUAACAAUAACGGUCCUAAAGUAGCGAAAUUCCUUGUCGGGUAAGUUCCGACCUGCACGAAUGGCGUAAUGAUGGGGGCGCUGUCUCCACCCGAGACUCAGUGAAAUUGAAAUCGCGGUUAAGAUGCCGUGUUCCCGCGGCUAGACGGAAAGACCCCGUGAACCUUUACUAUAGCUUUGCACUGAACUUUGAACCUAUCUGUGUAGGAUAGGUGGGAGGCUUUGAAGUCGAUACGCUAGUGUCGAUGGAGCCGUCCUUGAAAUACCACCCUGGUAUGUUUGAGGUUCUAACGUCGUCCCCUUAUCGGGGAUACGGACAGUGUAUGGUGGGUAGUUUGACUGGGGCGGUCUCCUCCCAAAGAGUAACGGAGGAGCACGAAGGUGUGCUAAUCAUGGUCGGAAAUCAUGAGGUUAGUGUAAAGGCAAAAGCACGCUUGACUGCGAGACAGACAUGUCGAGCAGGUACGAAAGUAGGUCUUAGUGAUCCGGUGGUUCUGUAUGGAAGGGCCAUCGCUCAACGGAUAAAAGGUACUCCGGGGAUAACAGGCUGAUACCGCCCAAGAGUUCACAUCGACGGCGGUGUUUGGCACCUCGAUGUCGGCUCAUCACAUCCUGGGGCUGAAGCCGGUCCCAAGGGUAUGGCUGUUCGCCAUUUAAAGUGGUACGCGAGCUGGGUUUAGAACGUCGUGAGACAGCUCGGUCCCUAUCUGCCGUGGGCGUUGGAGAUUUGAGAAGAGUUGUUCCUAGUACGAGAGGACCGGAAUGAACGCACCUCUGGUGUUCGGGUUGUCGUGCCAACGGCAUUGCCCGGUAGCUACGUGCGGACGGGAUAACCGCUGAAAGCAUCUAAGCGGGAAGCCUCCUUCAAGAUUAGGUCUCCCUGGGGCUUUAAGCCCCCUAAAGAGCCGUUGAAGACUACGACGUUGAUAGGUUGGGUGUGGAAGCGCUGUGAGGCGUUGAGCUAACCAAUACUAAUUGCUCGUGCGGCUUGACCG
rnacentral:rRNA from 1 species